rnacentral:rRNA from 1 species
GACGUAGGGCGCGAGCGUUGUCCGGAUUUAUUGGGCGUAAAGAGCUCGUAGGCGGCCAACUAAGUCCGACGUGAAAUCCCCAAGCUUAACUUGGGAACUGCGUCGGAUACUGGAUGGCUUGAAUUCGGGAGAGGGAUGCAGAAUUCCAGGUGUAGCGGUGAAAUGCGUAGAUAUCUGGAGGAAUACCGGUGGCGAAGGCGGCAUCCUGGACCGACAUUGACGCUGAGGAGCGAAAGCUAGGGGAGCAAACGGG